UACGUAGGGGGCAAGCGUUGUCCGGAUUUAUUGGGCGUAAAGAGCGUGUAGGCGGUCUGGUAGGUCCGUUGUGAAAACUCGAGGCUCAACCUCGAGACGCCGAUGGAAACCCUCAGACUAGAGUCCGGAAGAGGAGAGUGGAAUUCCUGGUGUAGCGGUGAAAUGCGCAGAUAUCAGGAAGAACACCCGUGGCUAAGGCGACUCUCUAGUACGGUACUGACGCUGAGACGCGAAAGCGUGGGGAGCGAACAGG
rnacentral:rRNA from 1 species